rnacentral:lncRNA from 1 species
GUGGAGUCUGGGCCACACAGCAGGAGAGAGAAUGGGGCACAAGUCGAGUUUUACAAAGUCAGCAAAAGCUCUGAAUUCAAGCUCAGAUUCACACCCUUAUCCCGGCAAGAUUCAGUCAGUGAGUGAAACACGUGAGGAUCAGCUGUGUUCCUCUCACCCCGUAAGGAAUUCUAGGGGAAUGCGGCCUCACCACUUAAAGCCAGUUCCCCUGAAAUUUAACCCCUUCGUGAGGGCUUUGCUACCUGUCCAACUAUUCUUUUUGUCACCACCUUAGCACUCCAAGGAUUUAAAAAUUGACAUCUAGGGUAAAGCAUCUGAUUUAUUGCUUUUCUAAUAAGUAUAUAUUAAAUAUACACCAUUUAAAGAAUGAUGGAAUUGAGAGUGCCUUUGGGUUGUAGAAAGUGGGAGGAGAGUUUAAAAGAGCAAUCUUGAGCCAGAAGUCAGAAGAAUUUUAUUUUUAUCAAUCUAAACUCUUUUCACACUAUGGAAAAUGCAAAAGGCAAGGAGUGGACCUCCACGGAGAAGUCAGGGGAAGCAGACAUGACUCAAAUUUGAGUGGUAUCUGUAGACACUAGAGAGGAAGAGCGGGCUUCGAGUGAGCCAAGCACAUCCACUUUAUCAAGAACCUCAGCAAAGGGAACUGAAGGACAAAGGUCUAUGAAGGAUGACAACGCAUCCCGUCCACAGGAGAACGCUCAAUGCAACAACAGCCUAAAACCUUGGAAGAAGGUAACCAUUCCUCCAUUACCUUCCAAAGUACCACCUGUCAAGCUGCUUCACGGAGACAUUGUGGGGGCCUGGUGCCAUCAUUUAAAGCUGAGCACUAGAGGCUAGAAACUAGAAGCAUAUAAGUGACUCUGUGAAUAUGCUUACCCAAAUCAAAAGAACAUUCCUGUCACAGCCAAGGAGAAAAAGUUACAGGCACGGUCAUAGAGAAAAUCAAAGGUGGACAAGGGAGAAAUGUCUCUGGAAAGGUCUAAGAAAAAGAUGUCAUCUGAGGGGACUGACCUCCAGAAGUGGCUCCUUCCCCUGAGGGACAGGGUGCCUGCACUGGAAGAGUCUACCGUCUACCACUCUCCUUGCAAGAGUUAAUACUGAGACAACGACUUCCACCUGGAGGCUGUGUUGGCCCCCUGGACCAGAACUGCAGCCAGGGUCUGGAAGACGGAGGCAGUGGAAUGGCCACAAGAGAUUAAUGAUGUCGGGUGCUGCAUCGUCCCCAGGAGAAGUCUUCCUGUGGACAUUUGGUUGGGUUCCCCUGCAGUUUCAUGCUGAUCAAGCCUGGGUUCCUGAAAAACAAGGGAAAGUGAGUGCGUGCUUCUUGCUCCCUGCCUGCCAUUUGCCAAUGUGCUGUGCUCCAGAUGUGUUCAGAGGAACAACGUGUUGAUGAAGAGCCUCCAAUGAGAUUAAAAUACGAGGGGAAGGAGCAUCUCUCUGGUUCUAACAAGAUGAAAAAGUCAUUCACGCUGCCAAGCGUCUGCCCUUCUGAAAUAGAAAUGCCCUCCACAGCUUCUAAGUGGGAACAUCUUCAGUGGAGCAUCGUGAAGAAGUUGAAUGAAGAAACAGCAAUGGUUUGCUUCCAUGCUGGAGUUCCCUCUUCAGAAUGCUGCCUGCCUUAGAGCUGCUCCCUUCUAAUUUAAGUGUCUGACUUCGAACUGUUGAGUAUUUUAAGCCACAGAGAAAGCUGUUGUUCUCUCUCCCUCCCUCCCCAAAACACGAUUCUUAAAAUACAAAACGACAUUUUCCAAGUUUUCUUAGUAACCUGAGACUGUUUGUUUAUGGUUUAACUCUGGGAUAAAAAUACAGGGCACUUUGCCAGUGUUAUUAUUUGUCUCGUAUAUUUCUGCUGCUCAAAAAUGUUUAAGGC